rnacentral:rRNA from 1 species
AUUGAACGCUGGCGGCAGGCCUAACACAUGCAAGUCGAGCGAGCGGCGGACGGGUGAGUAAUGUAUGGGGACUGCCCGUUAGAGGGGGAUAACUACUGGAAACGGUGGCUAAUACCGCAUACUGUCGGAUAACCCAUAUGUGAGUAGCUAGUAGGUGAGGUAAUGGCUUACCUAGGCGACGAUCCCUAGCGGGUCUGAGAGGAUGAUCAGGCAAAGUGGGAAGUAGAAACGGACCAGACUCCUACGGAGGCAGGAGUGGGGAAUAUUGCACAAUGGGGGCAAGCCUGAUGGAGCCAUGCCGAGUGUAGGAAGAAGGCCUUAGGGUUGUAAAGUACUUUCAGACGGGAGGCGGUACCGGAAGAAGAAGCACCGGCUAACUCCGUGCCAGCAGCCGCGGUAAUUC